rnacentral:SRP_RNA from 1 species
AGUUGAUCCCUUCGCGACGAUCGUUUGUAAACCCCGUCAGGCCUGGAAAGGAGCAGCGGUAGCAUCUGUAUCGGGUGCCGGAGUUUCGGUUGGCUGUG